GUCUUUUGGUUAUUUAUAAAGGUGUAUUUAGUUAAAUAGUUUUAAAAAGGGGUUGUUGUUUUUUUUGGUAAAAAAAAGUUUGAGGCGCGAGACUCUGCAUAGUAAAAUACAGAGGCUAAGCACCUCGAACAAAGAGCACAAAGGGGUGUGUAAGUCUAUAGAGAGAAAAAAGGUUUACUUUUUUUUCCUAUGAUGAUCCUUCCGCAGGUUCACCUACGGAAA
rnacentral:misc_RNA from 1 species